CCAAAUGUUUUCUAGGGUUCCGCUUGCAAGGCAAGGCCUGGUCCGAGAGAAAACGCAAAAAAGAUUGUCUUUUUUGUCCACGGAGGGAGAAAAGCCCGGGAGAU
rnacentral:sRNA from 2 species